GAUGAACGCUGGCGGCGUGCCUAAUACAUACAAGUCGAGCGAACAGAUGAGGAGCUUGCUCCUCUGACGUUAGCGGCGGACGGGUGAGUAACACGUGGAUAACCUACCUAUAAGACUGGGAUAACUUCGGGAAACCGGAGCUAAUACCGGAUAAUAUAUUGAACCGCAUGGUUCAAUAGUGAAAGACGGUUUUGCUGUCACUUAUAGAUGGAUCCGCGCCGCAUUAGCUAGUUGGUAAGGUAACGGCUUACCAAGGCAACGAUGCGUAGCCGACCUGAGAGGGUGAUCGGCGACACUGGAACUGAGACACGGUCCAGGCUCCUACGGGAGGCAGCAGUAGGGAAUCUUCCGCAAUGGGCGGAAGCCUGACGGAGCAGCGCCGCGUGAGUGAUGAAGGUCUUCGGAUCGUAAAACUCUGUUAUUAGGGAAGAACAAAUGUGUAAGUAACUAUGCACGUCUUGACGGUACCUGAUCAGAAAGCCACGGCUAACUACGUG
rnacentral:rRNA from 1 species